rnacentral:lncRNA from 1 species
GGUUUAGUCAAGAGCAUUGCCUCGUAAAUCCCCUAGUGGGUCCUGAUUUGGGGCCUGCAGAAUCACGCAAAAUAAACCCACUUCCUCCUCAGGCUGCACUCCCUGCCUUUACUUAUGGAAAGGAUCACCAUCCUCCAUCUGGUGAUGCCUUGCUUUUUUCUUCACUCAUGAAUGUUUUUCUUUGUUUUAUGUGCUUAUUUACUCCACAAAGACGUAUUAAGCACCUCCUUUGUGCCAGCGACUGUGUGGGGUGCUGGGGUUACAAUGGUGAGUGAGGUAACCAUGAUUCCAGCUCUCAGGAAACCUAAUGACCAAAUGGGGAAGAUAGGUGACAGUGAUGGUGAUGACGAUGGCAAUGGUCAUGAUGGAGAUGAUGGUGAUGGUGAUGAUGGAGGUGAUGGUGAUGGUGAUGAAGGAGGUGAUGGUGAUGGUGGUAAUGGAGGUGAUGGCGAUGGUGAUGAUGGAGGUGAUAGUGAUGAUGGAGGUGAUGGUGAUAAUGGAGGUGAUGGUGAUGAUGGAGGUGAUGGUGAUGGUGGUAAUGGAGGUGAUGGCGAUGGUGAUGAUGGAGGUGAUAGUGAUGAUGGAGGUGAUGGUGAUGAUGGAGGUGAUGAUGAUGGUGAUGAUGGAGGUGAUGGUGAUGAUGGAAGUGAUGGCAAUGGUGGUGAUGGAGGUGAUGGCAAUGGUGAUGAGGGAGGUGAAAUUCACAUCAUAUACAAUGAACCGUUUUAGAGUGUACAGUUCGGUGGCAUCUAU